CGGGACAUACUUGUGUAUUAGGGAGGAUAGAUAGGUGGGAGCAGCAUUAUGUAGAGAUUUGAAAACAAGAACCAGAUUUUUAAAUUGAGCCUUAUAUCUUACAGGAAGCCAAUGUAGGGACUGACAGAAGGGUGAGGUGUUGGCGGUGCGGGUGGACAGGAAGAUGAGCCUCGCCACCGCAUUCAUCAUGGACUGUAACGGCGCAAGUUGGGAGCACAUAAGACCACUGAGAAGCAGAUUACAGUAGUCAAGGUGAGAAAGGACAGUGGAAUGGAUCAGCACCUUAGUCGCAUCUGGCGUUAAGUAGGGUCGGAUGCUCGAAAUGUUUUUGAGAUGGAAGCGGCAGGAUUUGGCGAUAGACUGAACAUGAGGUGUGAAAGAGAGGUGGGAGUCAAAGAGAGCACGUAGCCUACAUGGUGGAGCUGAUGGUAGCACCGUUGACUUGGAGGGAGAUAGACACAGGAGUAGCAACACUUGAAGGAGGAAAGACCAGAAUUUCAGUUUUGGUCAAGUUGAGUUUAAGGAAGUGGGCAGCAAUCCAGUUAGAAAUAGCAGAGAGGCAGUCAGAGACACUAGUCAAGCGGGACCAGGAGAGGACAGAUAGAUUUGCGUGUCAUCCGCAAAUAAGCUAAUGAGUUUACCAAGGGAGGCAGUAUAGAUGGAAAACAGUAGGGCAC